CUUAUACUCCCUCCGUCCGGAAAAACUUGUCCCUCAAAUGGAUGUAUCUAGCACCAAGUUAGUGUUAGAUACAUCCAUUUGAGGGACAAGCUUUUCCAGACGGAGGGAGUAAUAA
rnacentral:pre_miRNA from 1 species